AUUGAACGCUGGCGGCAGGCCUAACACAUGCAAGUCGAGCGGAUGAAGGGAGCUUGCUCCUGGAUUCAGCGGAGGACGGGUGAGUAAUGCCUAGGAAUCUGCCUGGCAGUGGGGGAUAACGUCCGGAAACGGGCGCUAAUACCGCAUACGUCCUGAGGGAGAAAGUGGGGGAUCUUCGGACCUCACGCUAUCAGAUGAGCCUAGGUCGGAUUAGCUAGUUGGUGGGGUAAAGGCCUACCAAGGCGACGAUCCGUAACUGGUCUGAGAGGAUGAUCAGUCACACUGGCACUGAGACACGGUCCAGACUCCUACGGGAGGCAGCAGUGGGGAAUAUUGGACAAUGGGCGAAAGCCUGAUCCAGCCAUGCCGCGUGUGUGAAGAAGGGCUUCGGAUUGUAAAGCACUUUAAGUUGGGAGGAAGGGCAGUAAGUUAAUGCCUUGCUGUUUUGACGUUACCAAAAGAAUAAGCACCGGCUAACUUCGUG
rnacentral:rRNA from 1 species